rnacentral:tRNA from 1 species
GGGGUUGUGGCUCAACGGUAGAGUACAGGCUUAGCAAGUGUGAGGCCCUGGGUUCAAUCCUCAGCACCA